CUUUUACGGAGAGUUUGAUCCUGGCUCAGGACGAACGCUGGCGGCGUGCUUAACACAUGCAAGUCGAACGGUGAAGCCCAGCUUGCUGGGUGGAUCAGUGGCGAACGGGUGAGUAACACGUGAGCAACCUGCCCUCCACUUCGGG
rnacentral:rRNA from 1 species